GGUCCAGAGAAUUGGCACAUGCCUCAGGUGUGGCCAAAAAAAAUCUUGACCUCAGUCUGGUGACAUUCUGUGAGGAAGAGUCAGCUAACUCACACCCAGACUCCUGAAGGACCCUCUACCCCAUCUGCUAUCAUUAUAAGACCCCACACAGCUGAGUCCGAGCAGAAUAAGAAGUCAGGGCAGGUGAAUUUGGACCGUAAUUGCUUUGGUCUUACAACUCAUAUGGGCAAGAGGAUUUGAGCUUAGCGUUCACUUUCUUUUGACCUCAGUUUUCUUGCACUUUCAGUGACAAGGGAUCUCUGGACAUGAAUUUGUCCCAGAGACUGCAGUGAAGACUUUACACGCUGACUCGAGGGGACAUACUGUUGGCUUUUAUCAGGGGAGUCUAUAUAAUCUCGUCACCGAGCCUCUGGUAAACCACACUGGAUAACAAAGCUGGACAUAAUUUGAGCCCGCUGCUGAGCCAGUCACUCUAGGAGGAUCCAUAAGAAGCCCUGGCUGAUAUUGGGGUUCCAGAAGGCAGGCCAGGACAGGCCUGAGAGAUCAUUCUCCCCCCAUGGGGAAAGCCCACACCCCGGAUGUCCACAAGCUGCAGAGUUACACUUUAGGGUCCAAAGAACCAAAGCGUGUGAGAAGAAGACGCCUCUCUCCCUCCUGUUUCCUUGGGUCGGGGGUUCUCCACCUUGGCUGCCCAUGAGAGUCACCUGGGAUCCCAGGCUUGCCAGGUGCAGCAAAUAAAAAUACAAGAUGCCCCAGGGAACUUUGCAUUUCUGAUGAACAACAAAGAACAUUUGUAAUGUGAGUUGUCUCCUGUGAUGUUUGGGACAUACUUGAACUAAAAAACAAAAAUUAUUGGCUGUUUAUCUGAAAUACCAAGUUCACUGGGCAUCCUGUAGUUUGUCUGAUAAACCUGGGAGGCGGGGUUUUUAAAAAGUACCAGUGCCUGAGCCUGUAAAUCCUGGCUUCUCUCCACCCUCAACCCUCCCACCUCUCACGUCUUUGCAGGAAGGAGGAUUGCUUUGUCCCGCUGGUCUCAAGACUACCAACGGACAUUUAUGAGGCCGGUAGUCCCUGCUGUGCACAGCUACCUCUUCUGUUAUCUGAAGACCUAGCAUUGAUAGUGCGCUUGGUACUCCGUGAUGUGAUGGAUGGUGUCUGUGUUCCUACAAAGUAGUGCCUCUGAUGGAGAGAUGGCUUGAUUGGAAUGGCAGCGGUGGAGAGAGUGAGUAGACAGAUUUGAAUGGUGUUUGAUGGAAUAAAUUACUUAGAAGUGCCAGUUCUUCUGAAACUGCAGGGACGGCUGGGGAAGGAGUCUGUCAUUUUCAGCACUGCCGGCAAAGGGAGAGGAUGUGGGUGGGGAGGCUCUUGGGUUUGCAACUGAGUUUACCCCAGAUGAUUAAAUCAAGAUUUGAAAAGCUUCUCUUGGCUCUUACACAGAGCAAGCCUUGCUUGGGAGGUUUCUCGUACUUGAGAGUCAACUUUGGUUGACACCUCAACUUUGGUCUGUUAAAUUCCAAGUGGUUUCAGGCCUC